CAAGGCUUGACAUACACCGGAAACGUCCAGAGAUGGGCGCCCCCUUGUGGUCGGAGUACAGGUGGUGCAUGGCCGUGGUCAGCUUGUGUCGUGAGAUGUUGGGUUAAGUCCCGCAACGAGCGCAACCCUUGUUCCUGUGUUGCCAGCAUGCCCUUCGGGGUGAUGGGGACUCACAGGAGACCGCCGGGGUCAACUCGGAGGAAGGUGGGGACGACGUCAAGUCAUCAUGCCCCUUAUGUCUUGGGCUGCACACGUGCUACAAUGGCCGGUACAAUGAGCUGCGAUACCGUGAGGUGGAGCGAAUCUCAAAAAACCGGUCUCAGUUCGGAUUGGGGUCUGCAACUCGACCCCAUGAAGUCGGAGUCGCUAGUAAUCGCAGAUCAGCAUGCUGCGGGAAUACGUACGACUC
rnacentral:rRNA from 1 species